rnacentral:tRNA from 1 species
ACACUCGUGGUUUAGUGGUAAAAUACGCCCUUGCCAUAACAUAUGUACUAUGGGCGUGCCACGGGUUCGAUUCCCGUCGAGUGUA